GCCAACGUCCAUACCACGUUGUCUACACCGGUUCUCAUCCGAUCACCGAAGUUAAGCAACAUUAGGCGCGGUUAGUACUUAGAUGGGUGACCGCUUGGGAAAACCGCGUGACGUUGGUU